rnacentral:rRNA from 1 species
GACGGGGGAUGCAAGGGUUAUGCGGAAUCACUGGGCGUAAAGCGUCUGUAGGUGGUGAUGCAAGUCACUGGUGCAAAACUCUGGCUCAACCGGAGGAAAGCCAGUGAAACUGCAUGACUAGAGUGUGGGAGAGGUAGAAGGAAUUCCCUGAGUAGCGGUGAAAUGCGUAGAUACAGGGAAGAACACCGGAGGCGAAAGCGUUCUACUGGAACACAACUGACACUGAGAGACGAAAGCUAGGGGUGCGAAUGGG